AUUGAACGCUGGCGGCAUGCCUUACACAUGCAAGUCGAACGGCAGCACGGACUUCGGUCUGGUGGCGAGUGGCGAACGGGUGAGUAAUAUAUCGGAACAUACCCUAGAGUGGGGGAUAACGUAGCGAAAGUUACGCUAAUACCGCAUACGAACUAAGGUUGAAAGUGGGGAUCGCAAGACCUCAUGCUCAUGGAGUGGCCGAUAUCUGAUUAGCUAGUUGGUGAGGUAAAGGCUCACCAAGGCGACGAUCAGUAGCUGGUUUGAGAGAACGACCAGCCACACUGGAACUGAGACACGGUCCAGACUCCUACGGGAGCAGCAGUGGGGAAUUUGGACAAUGGGCGCAAGCCUGAUCCAGCAAUGCCGCG
rnacentral:rRNA from 1 species